CCUACGGGUGGCAGCAGUAGGGAAUCUUUCACAAUGGGCGAAAGCCUGAUGGAGCAACGCCGCGUGCAGGAUGAAGGCCUUCGGGUUGUAAACUGCUUUUAUAAGCGAGAAAUAUGAUGGUAACUUAUGAAUAAGGCUCGGCUAACUACGUGCCAGCAGCCUCGGUCAUACGUAGGAUCCGAGCCUUAUCCGGGGUGACUGGGUGUAACAAGUUGCGUAUGUGGCAUAAUAAGUAGCUAGUGAAAUCUGGUGGCUCAACAAUUCAGAAUAUUAGGGAAACUGUUAAGCUCGAGACCGUUAGGGGUAACUGGAAUUUCUAGUGUAGGGGUGAAAUGCGUAGAUAUUAGAAGGAACACCAAUGGCGUAGGAAGGUUGCUGGGGCGGAUAUGACGCUAAGGCACGAAAGCGUAGGGAGCAAACGGGAUUAGAUACCCCAGUAGUC
rnacentral:rRNA from 1 species